AGGAUAAAUAAGUUAGGUAAACAAAACCAUAUAAAUGAAACUAAUUAAGAAUCUAUAACAAAAGUUAAGGGUAGAAUACAAAAAUUGCCAUCAAAGGACAAAGUAAAAACAUAGGCCUAGAAAAUACUUUUAACGUCAUUAUAACAGCCAAUUAAGUUCCAAAACUAAAAAGAGGCUUUACAAAUUUGGCCAACAAUGCAAAAAUUACCCGUCAACAAACAUUCAAAACUUCAACAACAUGCUCCUUAUGAGUUUGUAGAUAAAAAUAACAAGAUUAUAAAUGUUUUAAAGCAAGAGAGGAAAUAAUGUAAAACAAGCUGAACAAAACAGAAAAAAAAACAAAAUAAUCCCGGUGACAGCAAUAAACAAGGCGAAGAACAAAGUCACAUCUAUUAAUGUUUCUUCAAUUACCAUUAGCUUAGCUAAGUGGAAAGCCAUAGCAAUACAUAAAUAUCAAGAGAGUCACAGUUGACAGUAUCUAAAUUUAGGUUUCAAUGAUUUACUGUUUUCUAAAUAACAUUUUGGAGACCAACAUUACAUAUUCUGAUAGGGUCAAGACUCAAGAAGGGCCAAAAACCUUUCAAGGUUUAUUCUAGAAGACCUAAAGGACAAGGAAAGGAAAAGGAAUCUUACUUGAUGAUGUGCAAUUGGAAUGGGCUGCUGUAAGGAACAAAAGGGAGAAGGACAUGUGACCAAAGGUGGUUAUAACAGAAGAAUCAUCUCCAGAAUACAAGGAAGUGAGCAGAAUGAAGGAGCAUCUUUUGGCUAUCUAGAAUUGUGAGGGCAGAAUUAUUUCUCAGUCAUUUAUCUUUCUUUUUCUCUUCUUGUUGCUUUAGAGACUGGAUUGCUAUUUUGAAUUUAAUAUUUGUUCUGUAUAAAGUUUGCCGAAAUUAAUACAAUCAAACCUGUUUCUCUUAGUUUCUUGUCUCACUUAUUUAUUUUUCAUACUCCUUACUCUAUCAUAUUCUCAUUAAUUUGGGUAUCCACUUAGGCUGAUGCUCUUACAUAAAAAUCACAAAAAUGGUUAGCGGAAAUUGUAAAAAUCCCUUUUUAGCACUGCAAUUCUCCUUCACCUCCCAAUCACCAACCAAAAACCAAGAAAAAAAUAAAUUAAAAAUGAAAAGUGUUCACAAAUUGUAGCACUGAAAAGAGUGUAAUGGCCAUAUUAACUACUACAACAGCACAAGAAUUUUAGGACCGCAUUAA
rnacentral:misc_RNA from 1 species